AAGAAAAACAAAAAAAAAAUGGAAUUAGAAACCAAACCAGAACAGCCACCACUUUAUUAUGUCUUGUGGUGCUGGGAACCCGGUGCCUGGGCUUAUCAGGGCAUCUGCCACUGCUCUUACUUAGGGGUCUCAGGCAGCUGUGGUUAGGGAAGGGUGCCUGGGAUCACAGGAGGCUGACUGGACUGAGGGCAGGCAGCACUGGCCCUUUCCCUUUCCCCAGGAAGUCUGUGGGCCUCUUUCUAAUGGAGCAUCUGGCUUCUCCAGUGCGGUAGCUGGAUGUCUUGCAAGGUGCUCAAGACUCCCAGAAGUGAGUGUUUAGGAAGAGAGAAAGAGGAGCUGGCAGUAUUCUGAAAGAACGCUUCCAAACUUAGGCAACUUAUUUUCAGCACAUUCCAUUUGUUAGCAUGAGUCACAGGCCAGCUCAGACUCACUCACUUGGGAAGGAGCACACAGGACCAGAACAACGGAAGUGUUCUCUGGGGCAUUCUUGGGAAGGUACCUUACCAUCAGGCUGGAAGUGGUGAAUGGAGAGAGAAGACAGAAGAAGCCUAUGGCCUUUGCUUUGGGGCCCUUGGAAGGUAGAAGCCGAGGAACAUUGAGGAGAACAUGGUUGGGGUCCUGGGACACCGGCCUAUGUGAGGCAGUUGCCUUCACUGACACGUCACUGACAGGCAGGAGAGAGUCUUGUCUAAAGAAUUUUCAAGCAAUGCAUUGAAAGUGCCUGGAACUUCUCCGAACUGACUUUGUCAGGCAGAAGAGCCGGUUAACUAAGGAACUAAGGAAGGCACUGUUCCACUUUGGAGCAGAAUUUAGGAAAUCUAAGGAGGUAGCAGCGCUGUUACAGCUGAAGGCUCUCUGCGGAAGAACAGGCUUCAGAGCAAAGGCACAAACCAGGGUGCUGCCAGUAAAUUGUGGGUUGAGCUGGAGAGGAAGCCAAGGGUGCGGCUGUAAAUCCUUCAGUAAUGCCUCAGUAACACUCAAGGGCAUUUCUUGGAGGCCACAUGGGUAGACAACAAGGCUUCUGAAGACCUUGCAGAUACUGUCUUAGCUCUAGUUGACAGUGGAGUUUCUAAGGAUUUGAGCAGACUUCUCACCAGUGGCUUAAGUCAUGCUAAGCCUCAAUGUAAAGAAAUGGUUGUGGCUUUUGUGUGAUGGAGGAGGUUAGGAUGUGAUGUAUAAAAGCUGGCAGGAGCUGGAGAGAGGCUCAGAGGCUAUGAGUGUUUACUGGUCUUGUAGCGGGCCUGAGUUCCUUUCCAGACACCCACACCAGGCACCUCAUGGCCCCUGGUCUCUCCAGAUCCAGAGGAUCGUGUAUCCUCUUCUGGCCUCCAUGGUACUGCACUCAUGUGCAAAUGCCCCUCUACACAUUUAUGUGUAGUUAAAAAUUGAGGGGAAAAAAUGAAGCCCACAGAGUUUUAAAAAUAAUUCUACAAGUUGGACUGAAGUAUAGUUCAAAUAAAGAGGUCUCUUGGCUGCAGCUCUUGGUUAUUUCUUAUGAAAAGAAAGGACAGUUGUCCUAGUUUGCUCUCUGACCCAAAGCAGGAGAAGAAAGGGUUUAUGUGGCAUAGACGCCUUGAGUACAGACCAUGCCUGUGGAAAGCCAAGGCAGGAACUCAAGCAGGACAGGAACCUGAAGUGAAGUGAAGCAGGGGACCAUUGAGACAUGCUUAUCCCCAUGGCUAGCUUAGCCUGUUUUCUUAUACAACCCAAGACCACCUGCCCAAGAAUGGCCCAUCCCACAGUAGGCUGGACCCUUCCAGGUCUAGAAAGUGCUCUUAUAGGCUUGUCUAUGGGCCAGUCUUAUGGAGGUAUUUCCUCCAUGGAGACUCCAUCUUCUCUGAUGACUUCAGCCUGUGUCAGGUUGACAUAAAUCUGACCAGCACAGUAAUUAAGAGUUUGGAGCCAGGAAAACACUUCUGGAGAGAAACUGUAUGUCUAAUGAGGGAAUUGGUGGCCUAUGUGUAGCUCUGUUGCGAGCUUGCUCUUCUUUUUGGAACACGAGCACCCAUUGCUCUUCCAUUGUGCCUGCCUGCUGUUGUGUGUCAAAUGUGGGAAAAUAACUUGUCUCUUGGCUCACAAAUUUUGGGACCCCUGAAGGGUCACAUGUGCACCUUAGUUGCUUAAGUCUUGGUUUUGGAACCUGAAUCUGAGGGUAUUUAAUGACUGAGGCCUUAGGGGGUCUUGGUAAGCAGGUGUAUUUGCACAUUAGAGGAAGGUGAUUCAUUUGGGACCAGACUAUGGGUAAUUGUUCUUCAGAGACAGCUUCUCCUUCCCACCCCAGCAAUGAACUUACACUUCUUGCUGUGGUCCACUUCUUUAAGUCUGGGUUGUAUCUGUGACUUUCUUUGGAUCCACAAAAGCAGUGACCAUGAUGCUACAUGACUUCUGAGCAUAGAUCAUAAAAGGCUUUUAGUUUCUACCUGGGGUCUUAGGAUACUCACUAUGGACUGGAUGGCAGCAGUGUAUCCCUUUAAUCUCAGCACUUGGGAGUCAGGCUCAGGUGGAUCUCUGUGAGUUCGAGGCCGGACUGGUCUCUAUAGAGUGAGUCCCAGGACAGCUAGGGCUACCCAGAGAAACCCUGUCUCAAAAACAGACAAACAAACAAACAGAAUACUCUGUGGGGUUGGCCAAUCAUUGUAUUAGGAGUUUGAUUCUUCUGAAACUAUCAUUCAAUGAGAGGUUCAAGACAGCCAUAAGAAAGGCCACAUGGCAAAAGCAUUAUGUAUAAGCAUAUCCCACUUGCUCCAUCCAUCCCACCUGAGGCAGGAGGAAGAGGACGCAGAUGCCGCCAUUUUGGAUGCACUAUGCUGUCAAGGCUGCAUUUGGCGGCAGGCUUCAUUCAGGUCCCGCUGCCAUUUAAUUGCAUGAGAUUUUCACAUCACCAAGCAACCAUCUCUCACAGUCAGUGGGCAGAACUGUGAACUCAGAGCUCAAUAACUCAUUGUGAGCCACUAAGGUUUGGGGUUUAUUAUACAGAGACAGGAAAAUCACCUAUUCUAAUUUUAUAACUACAGGGUCAACUGGAAAAGAUGUACAUUUACGAUUGCUUCUCAUGUAAAAAUGUGUGUAUGUGUCAGGUUGUAUGAGUGUGUGUGUGUGUGUGUGUGUAUGAGGGCCUUGUGAAAUGUCUUUCUCAGGUAGUUCCACAUUAUUAUUAUUAUUAUUAUUAUUAUUAUUAUUAUUAUUAUUAUUAUUAUUAUUGAGACAGGGUCUCUUGUGGAACCUGGAGCUUGCUAAUUCGGUUGGACUGGUUGACUAGCAAAUUACAGGUAUCUUCCUCCCCAGUGCUGGGAUUCCAGGUGCCCACCACCAUGCUGCAUCUGGAUACUUGGUAGUGGAAGUCAAGAUCCUCAUGCAUUUACCUAGUGAACCAUCUCCCCAGUUCUUCUCACAUAAACUUUAAAAACAUUGUCUCUAGAGCCAUUGAGAUGGCUCAGCAAGUACAGGUGUUUGCCACCAAGCUUGAAGACCUGAGUUUGAUUCCCAGAAGCCACAAGGUGGAAGGAGAGAAUUGACUACCACAAGUUGUCCUUUGACCUCCACAUGUGUGUUGUGGUGUGAAAGCACACACAAACCUAAAAUAAAUAGACACAUAAAUAAAUGGAAUAAAAGUGUCGCCUUAAAAAUCUUCAAAAUGACUGUGUUAGCUCUUUUCCUUGCUUCUGUGGCAAAAUACCUGGCAACAGUGACGUAAGCAGGGAUAGGUUUAUUUUGGCUCGUGGUUACAGGUGGGUUAUAAUCCAUCAUAGCUGGUGAGGCACCGCGGCAGGAAUGUGACUGGCAUUAACAGUCAGGAAGCAAAGAGCAGAUAGGAGAUGUGGCUGAGCUACUUAACAUCAGUACCUGCCCACAGUGACCCACCUGAUCAAGGAUCUGCCUCUUCUGAAGUUUCUGCAGCCUUCCAAGACAACACCGUUAGCUGAGGACCAAGUGUCACACAAGUGAACCUAUGGAGGAUACCCCACAUUUCAAACCACAGCAUUUAUCUACCAAAAUUUCAAACUGCCAGGGCUUCUGACACACCUGCUGACAACAGGGAGAAUGCCAAGAAUAACUCAGGUGCUCUUCAGUUUAUGACAAGAUGACCAGACACCUCAAGAGGAGAGCAUCAGGCCUCUGACAGAGGAAAAGCAAAGGGUGAAUGACAGCUUGAACCUGGCAGAUCAAGAGACUGCUAAGCCUCCAUGGUUUCAAGGGCCAAUUUUCCUCCAUCCCGCCCUCCUCACCAUGAGAAACUGAAGAAAGUGGAGAAAACCAGCUAAGCACAUGUGUUCAUUUACUCAUUGCUUCCUGGUUGUAAAUGAGGUGUGACUCCUUCUCAGAAGAGGCCUCCUCUGCCACAGUGGUGAGGACAAAGGCUCCUUGCCUAAGGAAAUAGUGGCCCCUCCUGAAACAGUUGCUAUGCUCCUAGUCCCUAAGAAGCUGGGAGACACAGAGUGGCGCACAGGGAAGGAAGCACACUGUAUUUCAAAAGAAUGACUCAAGUUUUCUAAUCUGUUAGAGCUGAAA